AGAGUUUGAUCCUGGCUCAGGAUGAACGCUGGCGGCGUGCCUAAUACAUGCAAGUCGAGCGAAUGGAUUAAGAGCUUGCUCUUAUGAAGUUAGCGGCGGACGGGUGAGUAACACGUGGGUAACCUGCCCAUAAGACUGGGAUAACUCCGGGAAACCGGGGCUAAUACCGGAUAACAUUUUGAACCGCAUGGUUCGAAAUUGAAAGGCGGCUUCGGCUGUCACUUAUGGAUGGACCCGCGUCGCAUUAGCUAGUUGGUGAGGUAACGGCUCACCAAGGCAACGAUGCGUAGCCGACCUGAGAGGGUGAUCGGCCACACUGGGACUGAGACACGGCCCAGACUCCUACGGGAGGCAGCAGUAGGGAAUCUUCCGCAAUGGACGAAAGUCUGACGGAGCAACGCCGCGUGAGUGAUGAAGGCUUUCGGGUCGUAAAACUCUGUUGUUAGGGAAGAACAAGUGCUAGUUGAAUAAGCUGGCACCUUGACGGUACCUAACCAGAAAGCCACGGCUAACUACGUGC
rnacentral:rRNA from 2 species